ACGGAGGGGGCAAGCGUUAUUCGGAAUUACUGGGCGUAAAGCGCGCGCAGGUGGUUCGAUAAGUGACAGGUGAAAUCCCUCGGCUUAACCGGGGACCGGCCUUUCAAACUGUCCCGCUAGAGGAUGGGAGGGGAAAGCGGAAUUCCUGGUGUAGCGGUGAAAUUCGUAGAUAUCAGGAGGAACACCGGUGGCGAAGGCGACUAUCUGGCCCUAUACUGACUCUGAGACGCGAGAGCGUGGGUAGCAAACAG
rnacentral:rRNA from 1 species